CCUACGGGAGGCAGCAGUGAGGAAUAUUGGUCAAUGGACGAGAGUCUGAACCAGCCAAGUAGCGUGAAGGAUGACUGCCCUAUGGGUUGUAAACUUCUUUUAUAUGGGAAUAAAAUGUUCCACGUGUGGGAUUUUGUAUGUACCAUAUGAAUAAGGAUCGGCUAACUCCGUGCCAGCAGCCGCGGUAAUACGGAGGAUCCGAGCGUUAUCCGGAUUUAUUGGGUUUAAAGGGAGCGUAGGUGGAUUGUUAAGUCAGUUGUGAAAGUUUGCGGCUCAACCGUAAAAUUGCAGUUGAAACUGGCAGUCUUGAGUACAGUAGAGGGGGUCGGAAUUCGUGGUGUAGCGGUGAAAUGCUUAGAUAUCACGAAGAACUCCGAUUGCGAAGGCAGUUCACUGGACUGCAACUGACACUGAGGCUCGAAAGUGUGGGUAUCAAACAGGAUUAGAUACCCUUGUAGUC
rnacentral:rRNA from 1 species